CAAGUCGAACGAGCUUCAGGUAGCAAUACUUGGAGCAAGUGGCGAAAGGGGCAGUAAUGUAUGGGUAAUCUACCUCGGGGACGUGGAUAGCUGUCCUAACGGGUAGGUAAUACACGGCGAUUCGGCGGGGGGGCAUCUCCUUGCCGGGAAAUGAAUUUCGCCUCGGGAGGAGCUCAUAUCGUAUUAGGUAGUUGGCGGGGUAACGGCCCACCAAGCCUCAGAUGCGUAGCGGGUGUGAGAGCACGACCCGCGCCACUGGCACUGAGACACUGGCCAGACACCUACGGGUGGCUGCAGUCGAGGAUCUUCGGCAAUGAGCGCAAGCUUGACCGAGCGACGCCGCGUGUGCGACGAAGGCCUUCGGGUUGUAAAGCACUGUCGAGGGGGAGGAAAGCCCGAAAGGGUCUGACCUAUCCCUGGAGGAAGCACGGGCUAAGUUCGUGCCAGCAGCCGCGGUAAGACGAACCGUGCGAACGUUGUUCGGAAUCACUGGGCUUAAAGGGCGCGUAGGCGGGCAUUAAAGUCAGGGGUGAAAUCCCCCAGCUUAACUGGGGAACUGCCUUUGAUACUGAAUGUCUCGAGUAAGGUAGGGGCAUGCGGAACUGAUGGUGGAGCGGUGAAAUGUGUUGAUAUCAUCAGGAACUCCGGUGGCGAAGGCGGCAUGCUGGACCUUCACUGACGCUGAGGCGCGAAAGCUAGGGUAGCGAACGGGAUUAGAUACCCCGGUAGUCCUAGCCCUAAACGAUGAGUACUAGGUUGUAGCCUUGACAUGGGGUUACAGCCGGAACAAAAGUGCUAAGUACUCCGCCUGGGGAGUAUGGUCGCAAGGCUGAAACUCAAAAGAAUUGACGGGGGCUCACAUAA
rnacentral:rRNA from 1 species